UACGUAGGGAGCAAGCGUUGUCCGGAAUCAUUGGGCGUAAAGCGCGCGUAGGUGGCUUCGUAAGUCCGUUGUGAAAGUCAAAGGCUCAACCUUUGAAAGCCGAUGGAUACUGUGAAGCUAGAGUACGGAAGAGGCGAGUGGAAUUCCCGGUGUAGCGGUGAAAUGCGCAGAUAUCGGGAGGAACACCAAUUGCGAAGGCAGCUCGCUGGGACGUCACUGACGCUGAGACGCGAAAGCGUGGGGAGCAAACAGGG
rnacentral:rRNA from 1 species